rnacentral:rRNA from 1 species
GACGAACGCUGGCGGCGUGCUUAACACAUGCAAGUCGAACGGAAAGGCCCUGCUUGCAGGGUGCUCGAGUGGCGAACGGGUGAGUAACACGUGGGUGAUCUGCCCCUUACUUUGGGAUAAGCCUGGGAAACUGGGUCUAAUACUGGAUAGGACCAUGCUGUAGGUGGUGUGGUGGAAAGAUUAGUUUCGGUAAGGGAUGAGCUCGCGGCCUAUCAGCUUGUUGGUGGGGUAAUGGCCUACCAAGGCGUCGACGGGUAGCCGGCCUGAGAGGGUGGACGGCCACAUUGGGACUGAGAUACGGCCCAGACGCCUACGGGAGGCAGCAGUGGGGAAUAUUGCACAAUGGGCGCAAGCCGGAUGAAGCGACGCCGCGGGGGGGAUGACGGCCUUCGGGUUGUAAACUCCUUUCAGCCAUGACGAAGCCCUUGUGGUGACGGUAGUGGUAGAAGAAGCACCGGCUAACUACGUG